UACGGAGGGUGCAAACGUUGCUCGGAAUCAUUGGGCGUAAAGCGCACGUAGGCGGACCGCUAAGUCGGAUGUGAAAGCCCUCGGCUUAACCGAGGAAGUGCAUUCGAAACUGACGGUCUUGAGUAUGGAAGAGGGUCGCGGAGUUCCCGGUGUAGAGGUGAAAUUCGUAGAUAUCGGGAGGAACACCAGUGGCGAAGGCGGCGACCUGGGCCAAUACUGACGCUGAGGUGCGAAAGCGUGGGGAGCAAACAGG
rnacentral:rRNA from 1 species